CUUUCCUUUAUUUUCUCUCUUUCUUGCUUCCCUUUUCUUUGAUUCUUUUCUUUAUCUCGUUAGAUUUGGAGAGAGAGAAAGUGUGUGUGUGUCACUGAGAUCCUUGGGAAUGGGUUUGCUUGAUUUACGGUGUUGGUGAGAAGGCUGUGCAAAAUGAGGAUGUUUUUGGGUACAAGAUUUAGUUUCUUUCUUCUUUCUUUUUGGAUUGCCGUUGCUCUUGUUUUCUUGUGCUGCUUUUGCCCAGUUUCAGCUCUGCCUCAGAAUGGCGGAGUCUCCAGAGAUUCUCUCAAGUUUAUCUUAGGAGAGGAGAAUUUGGGGCCAUGGAGAAACGGAAUGCCGGAGGCUGCUGCAGAAGCACCAGGCCCUUCUGAUGAUAACACGCUAGUACUGGCAGCGAAGAGAACAAAUCGACCAGACAUUCUUCAUGGGUUUAAGCGUUAUCGGGGUGGUUGGGAUAUCACCAAUCGCCAUUACUGGGCUUCUGUUGGUUUCACAGGUGCUCCUGGUUUUAUUUUGGCUGUCCUGUGGUUGUUUUCAUUUGGAUUGGCCUUUGCAUUACGCUGUUGCUGCCGGUGGAGAAUUAACAUUAAAGGCAAAGGAUCUGAUAGAUCUCAGAGGAUUUGUCUCAUAGUGCUUAUAGUGUUCACAUCUGCUGCAGCGGUUGGUUGCAUUCUUUUAUCUGUUGGUCAGGAUGAAUUUCAUGGUGAAGCUUUGCAGACUCUGAAAUAUGUUGUGAACCAAUCAAACUACACUGUACAAACUCUGAGAAAUGUCACAUGGUAUUUGUCACUUGCAAAGACCAUCAAUGUGGCCCAUGUAUUUCUUCCUUCUAAUGUCAUGGAUGAUAUUGACAAGUUGAAUUUAGAUCUAAAUACUGCAGCUGAUACACUAGAAGAGAAGACAGGUGAAAAUUCUAGAAAAAUAGUAAAAGUGUUCAAUGCUGUGCGAUCAGCAUUGAUCACUGUGGCGGCAG
rnacentral:misc_RNA from 1 species